rnacentral:rRNA from 1 species
AGAGUUUGAUCCUGGCUCAGGAUGAACGCUAGCGACAGGCCUAACACAUGCAAGUUGAGGGGCAGCGGGAGCAAAGCUUGCUUUGCUUGCCGGCGACCGGCGCACGGGUGAGUAACGCGUAUGCAACCUGCCUGUAACAGGGGGAUAACCCGGAGAAAUCCGGCCUAACACCGCAUAACACAUGUAAGCCGCAUGGUUUUCAUGUCAAAUAUUCAAAGGUUACAAAUGGGCUUGCGUCUGAUUAGCUAGUUGGUAAGGUAAAGGCUUACCAAGGCGACGAUCAGUAGCCGGACUGAGAGGUUCAACGGCCACAUUGGGACUGAGAUACGGCCCAGACUCCUACGGGAGGCAGCAGUCGGGAAUAUUGCGCAAUGGAGGAAACUCUGACGCAGUGACGCCGCGUAUAGGAAGAAGGUUUUCGGAUUGUAAACUAUUGUCGAUGGGGAAGAAAAGGACAGUACCCAUCAAGAAAGCUCCGGCUAACUACGUGCCAGCAGCCGCGGUAAUACGUAGGGAGCAAGCGUUAUCCGGAUUUAUUGGGUGUAAAGGGUGCGUAGACGGGAAAUUAAGUUAGUUGUGAAAUCCCUCGGCUCAACUGAGGAACUGCAACUAAAACUGGUUUUCUUGAGUGCAGGAGAGGAAAGUGGAAUUCCUAGUGUAGCGGUGAAAUGCGUAGAUAUUAGGAGGAACACCAGUGGCGAAGGCGACUUUCUGGACUGUAACUGACGUUGAGGCACGAAAGUGUGGGGAGCAAACAGGAUUAGAUACCCUGGUAGUUCACACUGUAAACGAUGGAUACCUAGGUGGUAGGGGGGAUUUAAACCUUCUGUGCCGUCGCAAAGGCAAAUAGGUAUUCCCCACCUGGGGAGUAGGCCGGCAAGGUGAAACUCAAAGGAAUUGAGGGGGGCCCGCACAAGCGGAGGAACAGGUGGUUUAAUUCGAGGAUACGGGAGGAACCUUACCCGGGCUUGAACUGCAGCGGGAGGAAUGAGAGAUCAUGACGUCAGCAAUGACCGCUGCGGAGGUGCUGCAUGGUUAUCGUCAGCUCGUGCCGUGAGGUGUCGGCUUAAGUGCCAUAACGAGCGCAACCCCCCUCCCCAGUUGCCAUCGCGCAAUGGCGGGCACUCUGGGGACACUGCCGCCGCAAGGUGCGAGGAAGGUGGGGACGACGUCAAAUCAGCACGGCCCUUACGUCCGGGGCUACACACGUGUUACAAUGGCGCGCACAGAGCGUUGGCGUCCCGCGAGGUCCGCCCAAUCGCCAAAACGCGCCCCAGUUCGGAUUGGGGCCUGCAACCCGGCCCCAUGAAGCUGGAUUCGCUAGUAAUCGCGCAUCAGCCAUGGCGCGGUGAAUACGUUCCCGGGCCUUGCACACACCGCCCGUCA